UAAAAAAAGAAAACUUUAGAAAUAAAUUCGGAGAAACUAUGCAGGAAUGAGACUGAAGCUGAAUAGGCACCUGGCAGCCAAUCAAGAUCAACCCAUCACAAUGGCUUGAAACCCUAAGUCUUACUAUCAAAGCCAUCUUUUAACAACAUAAUCUGAACUCUUUGGUCUUCUGCC
rnacentral:lncRNA from 1 species